rnacentral:rRNA from 1 species
AGUGAACGCUGGCGGUAGGCCUAACACAUGCAAGUCGAACGGCCGCACAGUAAGCGCUUGCUCUUACGGGUGGCGAGUGGCGGACGGGUGAGGCAUACAUCGGAUUCUACUUUUUCGUGGGGGCUAACGUAGGGAAACUUCCGCUAAUACCGCAUACGCCCUACGGGUGACAGCAGGGGAUCUUCGGACCUUGCGCGAUUGAAUGAGCCGAUGUCGGCUUAGCUGGUUGGCGGGGUAAAGGCCCACCAAGGCGACGAUCCGUAGCUGGUCUGAGAGGAUGAUCAGCAACACUGGAGCUAGGACACGGACCAGACCCCGACGGGAGGCAGCAGUGGGGAAUAUAGGAGAAUGAGCGCAAGCCUGAUCCAGCCAUACCGCGUGGGUGAAGAAGGCCUUCGGGUUGUAAAGCCCGUUUGUUGUGAAAGAAAAGCAGCAGGUUAAUACCCCGCUGUUCGGACGGAACCCAAAGAAUAAGCACCGGCAAACUUCGG